CGAGUCAGCCAAACAGUCGCUGUAUGCGCAAGCGUACAGAGGAAAGUCCGGGCUUCACAGAACAGAGUGCCAGAUAACGUCUGGGCAACGUGAGUUGCGGAAAGUGCCACAGAAAAUAUACCGCUGUGUCAAAGCAGCAAGGGUGAAAUGGUGCGGUAAGAGCGCACCGCGUCGUUGGUAACAGCGACGGCAAGGUAAACCCCACUCGAAGCAAGACCAAGUAGGAAUUCGCUAACGUGGUUCGCGUUGAAUUCGGGUAGGUUGCUAGAGGUUGAUGGCGACAUCAAUCCCAGAUAAAUGAUUGUUCGCGACAGAACCCGGCUUAUCGGCUGACUCAAUUA
rfam:Gammaproteobacteria bacterium RIFCSPLOWO2_02_FTLL_42_14 rifcsplowo2_02_scaffold_305, whole genome shotgun sequence.